rnacentral:rRNA from 1 species
UACGUAGGGGCCAAGCGUUGUCCGGAAUUACUGGGCGUAAAGCGUGGGUAGGUGGUCGAUGAUGUGCCGCGUGAAAGCGCCGGAGUAACGCCGGCGAGGUCGCGGUAGACACGUUGACUAGAGGCUCGCAGAGGAACGUGGAAUUCCCGGUGUAGUGGUGAAAUGCGUAGAUAUCGGGAGGAACACCAGUGGCGCAAGCGGCGUUCUGGGCGAGACCUGACACUGAGCCACGACGGCGUGGGGAGCAAACAGG